GCGUUAAUCGGUAUUACUGGGCGUAAAGCGCACGCCGGCGGUUUGUUAAGUAAGAUGUGAAAUCCCCGGGCUCAACCUGGGAACUGCAUUUGAAACUGGCAAGCUAGAGUCUCGUAGAGGGGGGUAGAAGUCCAGGUGUAGCGGUGAAAUGCGUAGAGAUCUGGAGGAAUACCGGUGGCGAAGGCGGCCCCCUGGACGAAGACUGACGCUCAGGUGCGAAAGCGUG
rnacentral:rRNA from 1 species